CAGCCGCCGCGGUAAUACGAAGGGGGCUAGCGUUGUUCGGAUUUACUGGGCGUAAAGCGCACGUAGGCGGACUUUCAAGUCAGGGGUGAAAUCCCGGGGCUCAACCCCGGAACUGCCUUUGAUACUGGAAGUCUUGAGUAUGGUAGAGGUGAGUGGAAUUCCGAGUGUAGAGGUGAAAUUCGUAGAUAUUCGGAGGAACACCAGUGGCGAAGGCGGCUCACUGGACCAUUACUGACGCUGAGGUGCGAAAGCGUGGGGAGCAAACAGGAUUAGAUACCCCCGUAGUCCCUGUCUCUUAUAC
rnacentral:rRNA from 1 species